ACACUUGAGAUUCCUUACCUCAGCUCUGAACUGUGGGCUGAGUGGCUAGAAAAGGAGGAAAAGUAACAUUGAAGUGAACUUGGAGUCUAGUGACAUACCACUUAUUUCAAACAUAC
rnacentral:snoRNA from 1 species